UGGGUCAGCUAGUAUUUUAUGUAGAGUUCCUUCGGGCUGGUUUUUACUUUUCAAUUUCGGAGUUUAUCCGGAAUCUCUUUGACUACUAUUGUCUCUAUCCUGUUCAAUUGGCUCCAAAAUCUAUCCGACUAAUUAUUAGUUUUGCUUUAUUGUGUCGUCUGAUCCCGACCAACCCUCGACCUUCACUUUUUCAUGCUUUUUUCAUCCUCCGUCUCCAUCCAAAAGCUAAGGAUUGGUGGUUCUUUAAUUCGAGAAAGGG
rnacentral:lncRNA from 1 species